rnacentral:rRNA from 1 species
GGAGGAAAAGAAACUAACAAGGAUUCCCCUAGUAACUGCGAGUGAAGCGGGAAAAGCUCAAAUUUAAAAUCUGUCAGUCCUUUGGCUGUCCGAGUUGUAAUCUAGAGAAGUGUUAUCCGCGCUGGACCGUGUACAAGUCUCCUGGAAUGGAGCGUCAUAGAGGGUGAGAAUCCCGUCUUUGACACGGACUGCCAGGGCUUUGUGAUGCGCUCUCAAAGAGUCGAGUUGUUUGGGAAUGCAGCUCAAAAUGGGUGGUAAAUUCCAUCUAAAGCUAAAUAUUGGCGAGAGACCGAUAGCGAACAAGUACCGUGAGGGAAAGAUGAAAAGAACUUUGGAAAGAGAGUUAAACAGUACGUGAAAUUGCUGAAAGGGAAACGCUUGAAGUCAGUCGCGUUGGCCAGGGAUCAACCUUGCUCUUGCUUGGUGUAUUUCCUGGUUGACGGGUCAGCAUCAAUUUUGACUAUUGGAAAAAGAUCAAGGGAAUGUGGCAUCUUUGGAUGUGUUAUAGCCUUUGGUUGCAUACAAUGGUUGGGAUUGAGGAACUCAGCACGCCGCAAGGCCGGGUUUUUUAACCACGUACGUGCUUAGGAUGCUGGCAUAAUGGCUUUAAUCGACCCGUCUUGAAACACGGACCAAGGAGUCUAACAUGCCUGCGAGUGUUUGGGUGGAAAACCCGAGCGCGUAAUGAAAGUGAAAGUUGAGAUCCCUGUCGUCGGGAGCAUCGACGCCCGGACCAGACCUUUUGUGACGGUUCCGCGGUAGAGCAUGUAUGUUGGGACCCGAAAGAUGGUGAACUAUGCCUGAAUAGGGUGAAGCCAGAGGAAACUCUGGUGGAGGCUCGUAGCGAUUCUGACGUGCAAAUCGAUCGUCAAAUUUGGGUAUAGGGGCGAAAGACUAAUCGAACCAUCUAGUAGCUGGUUCCU